rnacentral:rRNA from 1 species
AAACCAGCACCUCAAGUGGUCAGGAGGAUUAUUGGGCCUAAAGCAUCCGUAGCCUGUUCUGUAAGUUUUCGGUUAAAUCCAUUAGCUCAACUAAUGGGCCGCCGAAAAUACUGUAGAACUAGGGAGUGGGAGAGGUAGACGGUAUACGGUAGGAAGGGGUAAAAUCCUUUGAUCUAUUGAGGACCACCUGUGGCGAAGGCGGUCUACCAGAACACGUUCGACGGUGAGGGAUGAAAGCUGGGGGAGCAAACCGGAUUAGAAACCCCGGUAGUCC